UACGUAGGGCGCAAGCGUUGUCCGGAAUUAUUGGGCGUAAAGAGCUCGUAGGCGGUCUGUCACGUCGGCUGUGAAAUCCCGAGGCUCAACCUCGGGUCUGCAGUCGAUACGGGCAAACUAGAGUAUUGCAGGGGAGACUGGAAUUCCUGGUGUAGCGGUGAAAUGCGCAGAUAUCAGGAGGAACACCGGUGGCGAAGGCGGGUCUCUGGGCAAUAACUGACGCUGAGGAGCGAAAGCGUGGGGAGCGAACAGG
rnacentral:rRNA from 1 species